UACGGAGGGUGCAAGCGUUGUUCGGAAUUAUUGGGCGUAAAGGGCGCGUAGGCGGUGUGGUAAGUCUGAUGUGAAACCUCCAGGCUCAACUUGGAGCUUGCAUCAGAAACUGCCGUGCUAGAGUGUGGGAGAGGAGAGUGGAAUUCCUGGUGUAGCGGUGAAAUGCGUAGAUAUCAGGAGGAACACCGGUGGCGAAGGCGGCUCUCUGGACCACAACUGACGCUGAGGCGCGAAAGCUAGGGGAGCAAACAGG
rnacentral:rRNA from 1 species